GCUGCAUUCAAAGAAAGUUCUGGUUUGAAUGGAAAGUAUGGCCUUUCAGUGCUGUGCGUUCUGCCAACAACUGCGCUAGUCAAAAUAAUAACAUGUUGGUUGGGUGCGGUGGCUCAUGCCUCUAAUCCCAGCACUUUGGGAGGGAGGCUGAGGCGGGUGGAUCGGAAGGUCAGGAGAUCGAGACCAUCCUGGCUAACACAGUGAAACCCCGUCUCUACUAAAAAUACAAAAAAUUAGCCGGGCAUGGUGGUGGGCGCCUAUAAUCCCAGCUACUAGGGAGGCUGAGGCAGGAGAAACACUUGAACCCGGGAGGCGGAGGUUGCAGUGAGCCAAGAUCGUGCCACUGCACUCCAGCCUGGACAAAAAGAGCUAAACUCUUAAAUAAAUAAAUAAAUAACUUGUUAAGGAAGAGUGGACUUUAAGAAACAUUUGUAGGACUAAGCUGGUCACACCUCUUUGUAGGCCAGCUGUGCUGAGGAAUGAAUCCGUAUUGCAGAGCACAGUGAAUUUGGGCUUGGAAUCACUCAGGUUGCUGGGUUCCACUCGUAGCUCUGUCAUUUACUGUCUCAAUAGCAACUUCCUCAUCUGGAAUAUGGGACAGUAACACUUGGCUUCCUGUGAUUAUGAAAAUGAAGCAAUAUAUGUAAAUAUUUAGCCAGGGUGGGUUUACUGUAAGUGCUUGGCAUAUGGCUCUGCCUCAAAAUAUAGGGGAUGAGCAUGCAUGGCAGAUGUACAAGACACACUUCCCACGCUUGUUUGCAUUUUUCUUCCUCUGAGUAUUUCCAAAGUGACAUGCCAAGUCAAGAAGGCUGCUAUCAACCCAAGAAACCGAGGCCAGGACUGGCCUGGGAUUAUUAGGAUGAGCUGAAUAAAUGUCAUGUGGCCUGGGAGCAGUCCCCGGACUGGGCUCUGCAGCCACGGGACAGGAGUCAAGGACCACUCAGCAUUUCCAAAACAAAUCGUUGCUCUGUAAACUCACUUCCGAGUCCCAACAAAUGGCAGUGGUGAGUGUUAUUUUAAAAGGGUUUUGUUUUUGUUUUUGAGUCAGAGUCUUGCUCUAUCACCCAGGCUGGAGUGCAGUGGCAUGAUCUCGGCUCACUGCAACCUCCGCCUCCUGGGUUCAAGUGAUUCUCCUGCCUCAGCCUCCCAAGUAGCUGGGACUGCAGGUGCCCACCACCAUGGCUGGCUAAUUUUUGUAUUUUUAGUAGAGACGGGGUUUCACCAUGUUGGUUUUGCAUUCCUUUUUCAUACGAAGUCUUCAAAAUCCAGUGUGAAUUUUACGUUUACACCACAUCUCAAUUACAUUUACACCACAAAUGAUCACUGGAAAUACUUUACUUGUUUUGUGACCAAAACAAAUCUCUAAGCACACUCCUGAGUUUGAGUGAUUCUUGUGCCUCAGCCUCCCAAGUAGCUGGGAGCAUGUCAUCAUGCCUGGCUAAUUUUUGCAUUUUUAGUAGAGGCAGGGUUUUGCCAUGUUGGCCAGGCUGGUCUCCAACUUCUGACCUCAAGUGAUAUGCCCGCCUCGGCCUCCCAAAGUGAUGGGAUUACAGGCAUG
rnacentral:lncRNA from 1 species